rnacentral:rRNA from 1 species
UGCCCUUUGCAAAAUAAUUGAUGAAUAAAGGGUACUGCCUGCCCAGUGACGUUGUUAAACGGCCGCGGUAUUUUGACCGUGCAAAGGUAGCAUAAUCAUUUGCCUCUUAAAUAGAGGCUGGUAUGAAUGGCAAGACGGGAUUUAGCUGUCUCUUUCUUAUAUCUUGAAAUUGAUGUUUUUGUGAAGAAGCGGAAAUUAAUUCGUAGGACGAGAAGACCCUAUCGAGCUUUAAUGAGUAAUGGAUUUAGUAUUAUUAACCAGAUUGUGAAUCUAAUUAUAACCUAUGAAUGGGUUUGUUAGUUUUUAUUUUAUAAUUUGUUAGUAUUUGAAUUAGACAUUUUGAUUGGGGCAAUCAUGGAGAAGAAAAUCCUCCAUUAGUGAUAAUGAGAAAAGACGUUUUUAGUGUGUAUUUUAUGCAGUUAAGUGAUCCACUUGGAGAGAGUGAUCAAAGGAAUAAGUUACCGUAGGGAUAACAGCGUAAUUUUUUUAGAGAGUUCAUAUUGAUAAAAAAGUUUGCGACCUCGAUGUUGGAUCGGGAUUUCCAGGAGAUGCAGCAGUUUCCAAGGGUUGGUCUGUUCGACCAUUAAAAUCCU